rnacentral:rRNA from 1 species
UACGGGGGGGGCAAGCGUUGUCCGGAAUCAUUGGGCGUAAAGAGCGUGUAGGCGGCCCGGUAAGUCCGCUGUGAAAGUCCAGGGCUCAACCCUGGGAUGCCGGUGGAUACUGUCGGGCUCGAGUCCGGAAGAGGAGUGUGGAAUUCCUGGUGUAGCGGUGAAAUGCGCAGAUAUCAGGAGGAACACCAAUGGCGAAGGCAGCACUCUGGGACGUGACUGACGCUGAGACGCGAAAGCGUGGGGAGCGAACAGG